rfam:Aedes albopictus isolate Foshan contig107705, whole genome shotgun sequence.
UGUUCUGAGGCUUAGUUGGGUAAAGCACCAGUCUGGCGAAUACGGAGUCGUGGGUUCGAAUCCCAUCAGAACGU